rnacentral:lncRNA from 1 species
AUGGGCUGUCAGCUCCCAGCCAUCCAUGCUGUGGGCGCAGUGCCGUGCCUGCCAGCCCGGGGAGGUGCUGCUGGUGGCCCGUGCUGCUGGGUGCCUCACCCUGGUGACACCGGUGGUGUGUUUCUGCUACGAGCUGUGUCUGUCAUCAGCCCGAGCGUGGUCCUGGGGGGCUGGAGGUGCCUUUGGAACCUCAGGGAAGGGCGUGCUCUGAGGGCUGGGGGAUGCUCGGUGCGUUUGGACCGGGCGUGUGUGGGGAUGGGACGUGGCUUUGGCAAAGGCAGGGGGGAUCCUUGGGUGUGUUGGGCAAAGGACUUCUCAAGGAGCUGAUGCCACUGUGAAAGGCCCUGGUGAGGCGUUGCUGAAGGUACUGAAUGCCCUUUUGGGGGCAAAGGCUUAUUCUAGUAGGAGGUGGGACACAAUCCUGGGAGGUGGAUUGAUCCCUCCUGACGGGCAGAGCCCAUUUCUUCUGACAAGGCAGGGCCUGAAAGGGAAUCAGUCCCUGCCACACUCCUGCAGGAAGAUGGAUGCACAGUUAUUGCCACGGUGGGGGGCACAGGGGACACUCCAUGGGUUGCUGUGAGCUGGAGCUGAGGGACAGAAAGGACACUGACCUGCUGGGGCGAGUCCAGAGGAGGGCACCCAGGUGAUCAGAGGGAUGGAACACCUCUGCUAUGAGGAAAGGCCAAGAGAACUGGGAUUGCUCAUCCUGGAGAAGACAAGGCUUUGGAGUGACCUAAUUGUGGCCUUGCAGGACCUGAAGGGAGCCCACAAGAAAGACGGGCAAGACUAUUUGCAAGAGCUGGAGUGAGGGGACAAGGGACAAUGGGUUCGAGUUGAAAGUAGGUUUAGAUUAAAUAUCAGGAGAACCUUUUUUUGCUUUGGAGUGACCUAAUUGUGGCCUUGCAGGACCUGAAGGGAGCCCACAAGAAAGACGGGCAAGACUAUUUGCAAGAGCUGGAGUGAGGGGACAAGGGAGAAUGGGUUCGAGUUGAAAGUAGGUUUAGAUUAGAUAUCAGGAGAAUCUUUUUUUCACUAUGAGGGUGUUGAUGCCCUGGCACAGGAUGCCCAGAGAAGCUGUGGCUGCCCCUGGAUCCCUGGAAGGGUCCAAGGCCGGGCUGGAUGGGGCUCGGAGCAUCCUGGUCUAGAGGAAGGUGUCCUUGCCGAUGCCCUGGCACAGGAUGCCCAGAGAAGCUGUGGCUGCCCCUGGAUCCCUGGAAGGGUCCAAGGCCGGGCUGGAUGGGGCUCGGAGCAUCCUGGUCUAGAGAAAGGUGUCCUCGCCCACGGCAGGGGGCUGGAACGAGACUACUACAUUCGAGAUCCCUUCCAAG